CACGUAGGGGGCGAGCGUUGUCCGGAUUUAUUGGGCGUAAAGAGCUCGUAGGCGGCUCAGUAAGUCAGGUGUGAAAACUCCAGGCUCAACCUGGAGACGCCACUUGAUACUGCUGUGGCUAGAGUCCGGUAGGGGAGCAUGGAAUUCCUGGUGUAGCGGUGAGAUGCGCAGAUAUCAGGAGGAACACCAGUGGCGAAGGCGGUGCUCUGGGCCGGAACUGACGCUGAGGAGCGAAAGCGUGGGGAGCAAACAGG
rnacentral:rRNA from 1 species